rnacentral:lncRNA from 1 species
GUGAAUUCCCAUUUACCUCAUUUUGCAUGCCAAUAUUCUAAAUGUGAGUUUUGCUUAGAUAGAGUUGAGGAUGUGUAAGUUUGGGUUCCAUAAUGACCAAAGUAAUUAAAAGAAUUCUUUGAUGUGUUGAGUCAACUCUUAAUUCUCUUGUGUCACAUUUGAUCCAUGGUUUUCAAAGGUUAAAUGUUGUUAAUGAUUCAUGUGUGUUGAAGGCAAUUGUUAUUCCCAAUUGAUGCUUGUAGAGGUUACUUUAGGAUAGCUAAAAAUACUUGGAUUUUCCCUUACGGAAAUGGUCUUAUUUUGUUUUCUUGAGGACAAGCAAAAGCUAAAGUUUGGGGGAGUUGAUAACUAGGGAUUUUGUCGUGCUCCUUCUUGCUUACGCUUUGGUCAUUAAUUAUUACAAAAUAGUCCCAAAAGACUCAUAAGUGUGCUUGAUUGUAGGUUUGAUCGACAAAGUGACGAAAUGUCAAAGAUAGUCUCAAAAGGAGUGAAACCUGCUCAAAUAAAGAAACGUUAAACUGAAGGCAAACAAGCCUAGUGUGGCCGCAUUCGAUUUUGUGCGAUCCGCACUAGGGGUUCAGAGAGUUGGUAAAAAUCAAGCUUAAGAAAAUGCGGCUGCAAUACAAAGUGUGAGGUCCGCGGUGAAGGCUCCGUGGCCACACGACCUUUGCGUGCGGUCCGCGGAGGAGAAGUUCAAAGAGGUGUAAAUUUCCCAGCUUCAAGCCAUGCGGUCCACAGUCAAGUUUAUGCGAACCACACUAGUUGCCUUGGCGGCCGCAGAUCAUUCUAUGCGGUUCGCGGAGCCCAAGAUAAAAGAGACAAGAAUUGAAGUCUAAGAGCCUAGUGCGGCCACAGUCCAUUUUGUGCCGCCCUCACUGACCCCGUAGGGAUAUUUUUGUCCAGUUUUUCCAGCUUAGUAUAAAUAGAACAUUUUGACAUUUUUAGGGCUUGAGUUAAUUGCAAUAGGCAACUACCCUCGCGAGAACUUCAUUUUUAGCCAUUUUUGGCAUCUUAGCUUAGAUUUAAUGAUAGAUUCUUGUACUUUGCUUUAGUAAUUUUUUAUAUGUCUACUUCUUCAUCUGUUUCUAUUUUCCUAUUUAAGCAUG